CAGUCGCCACGGUAAUACGAAGGGGGCUAGAGUUGCUCGGAAUGACUGGGCGUAAAGGGCGCGUAGGCGGCGAUCAAAGUCAGGCGUGAAAUUCCUGGGCUCAACCUGGGGGCUGCGUUUGAUACUUGAUUGCUAGAGUGGGGAAGAGGGUCGUGGAAUUCCCAGUGUAGAGGUGAAAUUCGUAGAUAUUGGGAAGAACACCGGUGGCGAAGGCGGCGACCUGGUCCUUGACUGACGCUGAGGCGCGAAAGCGUGGGGAGCAAACAGGAUUAGAUACCCCGGUAGUCCCUGUCUCUUAUAA
rnacentral:rRNA from 1 species